ensembl:lncRNA
CCUCCCGCUCCAGCAGGCCGCAGAGAAUGGGGGUGGGAGAAGACUCUGUCUAUCUUGCGUGCUGCACAAUAUCGUUUAUUAUUUAGUAAAUAUUGAUAUCUAUGACUAGCUAGUUUAUUGUGAUGGUGCUUUGUUUUCUCUAUUAUUAUGUUGCUCUUUGUUAUUUGCUGUCUCCUCUGUUUGUUUUUUUUGUUUGUUUGUUUUUUUCUCCAUACAGGUGACCCAGGAGUUCUUUUUUUUUUCUCUCUCUUCCCCCCCCCUUCUCACCGUCUCUUCUCCCCUUUGGUUUUCUUUCUUUCUCUCCCCCUCUUUCUCUCAUUCAUUCCCCCUGUCCUAUUUAUUAAAAAAAAAAAAAAAAAAAAAUGACAAAGGAUGAACUGAAGCUCUGCCAUCACGUAAUGUCGCAUACUGCUGUUUCUGAUGUCAUUUAAAAAAAAAAAAAAAAAAAGAUUUAAGUUUCUUUUUUCUACCCCCUGAUGGCAGCAAUAUGACAUUCUGCUGGUUUUAACACUACUGGGAUGUAUAUACGUCCUUAAUUCAACACUAAGGCUAAUACCAUUUUCACCAUCACUGUUCUUAUUUCAGUGCAUGUUUACAUCAUUUUUACAUUUGUUCUUAAUAAUUGUUAAUAAAUCAACACUCGUUUUGUUGUUGAGUUGCUGCUUUUACUGAAUUUACCUGGAAUUUUUUUCUACCUCUUGAACAUGUCUAAAAUGUUCCAAGCCUUUCUGUCAUGAUACAGUCACUAGGGAACAGAGAGGUUGGAGAACAUGGCAUGACCAAAUUACUGCAACUCUGUGCAGAUUGUUAGACCUGCAAUCUGCCUUUGAAGUGGUUUCUUUGAAGACGGGGACCAGAGCUGCCGUCUUCACAAUGACUUUGUUGUGCUGAUAAAAUGGCAAUAAGCCUGAGUCAGCCUGCUCAGUCCUAUUGCCUCAGAGUUUGUGAUUGAAUGGGCCUAUGAACUAAAUAAGUAAAAGUGCUGUUUGUUGCUGUCUACGUGCAUAACUAGUUCGAUUCAGACUCCAGCUAGAGGCUCCACAAAUACUGAUGUACUUGCUGCCUUAUGGCAAAAUAACAUAGAUGCUCAGGAACCUUGAGCAUCUUGAGACACGUGCAGACGAGUUGCAUGGAUCAGCACAGACGGCCUGAGAUUGAUGGUAAUAUGCUGUCUGCUUUAAUCAACUGGACUGCUAUAUUUGGGAAACUUGGUCAACUUGUAUGCUCUUUGAAAGUCAGACUGGUGCAGUCACCAUGUGAUUGAAAGCAGUUGCCCAGAGGUUGAGAGUUUUGAACACUAAACCUCUGAACAACCAGAACUUGGAGGAAGCAAUGGACAGAAAAUAAUUUCACUGCAAUCACUGAUUUUUUUUUCCUUUCCUAAUCACAAGGUUUUAAAUCCUGUUUUUCUCUCUAGUGUGUCUGAGCAUUUAGAUUAAGCCAUGAAAUGUCAAGACAGAUUUAAUACAUUAAAAGGUACAAAAAGGUUUCAUCUGUCAUCUUUUUUUAACUUCAUGUCUUUGGAUCUCUCUAGUUUUGAUGAUUUUCCAUGUUAAUGAUAAUAAAAUGUAAGAAGGAAAA